GUCAUCAGCAGGUGAAUGUCCAGUCCCCAUUUGGUUCCUGUCUGAACUUGAGGUGAAGAGAAGAGCCAGAAACAAGAUGAGAAGAGAAAAACAGUUCCCCCCAGCGCUUGACCACAGGGCCCGGCUCAGCUACACAUGUCAAAUGCAUGGCUCUUGGAGAUGAGACCUGAUGUCCACUACACAUUGGGCACUGAACGAAUUGUUGACAAUAAGAUGCCACUUACCACAACCCUGAGGGAGGCCCAGGGCGUCAUCAGUGAUGGAAGAACAGAAGGAUGAAGAGGACUCAUGACUGAAAACUGCACUGCUGUGGAUCCAAAGGGAACCAAAAGUGGAGCCAGGAGAUAUUUGUGGAAGCUUCUGAGAAGACACAUUGAACAGAAUGGGGUGUUUGCUUCCCUGGAUCAGAAAAGAAUCACAUCGCUUUCUUUCAGUCAUGGCACAGAGUUACAGAGUCACAAGAAAGAAACAACAGAAAGAGAAUGUUUUCUGGUGGAAAGGUGUGUGUCAGACUACACUCCACGGAAGAGAGUUUGUUUGAAGGCAGAACUCAAGGUCCUGAGCAACCAGCUUGGCUAGAAGAAGAUGGAUUUGGAGCCAGGACCAGUGAGCUGCCUCCGAUGAGAGUGACAGACUGUGUAAACAAUGGCAGAGUCUGAAUGACUGUAUUUGGGCUUCUGGGGUGUUGACUGCAGGUGAACAAAUCAAAUGCCUCUUCAAAGAGCUGCCUGAGAAGAGUUGGUGAAUAUCUCCUACUACUGGGGGAGAAACAGACAGCCUUGUGAAUUGCAGCCACUCAAAUGUCACAUAACUUCCACUAGUCAUCCUUCUGUGUAUACCCCUUCCAUCCUCUGGCUCAGUUUCCCCAGGGACUGCAUCUCCAGUCUCCUUUGAGGUGGGAGAAGGGUAGAUAUCAAAUACCUGAGACGGGGAAGGGGUCCUCACCCACUGAUACUCGCUGGUGGUAUACAUACCCCCUUCUUCUUAAAUGCAGUGUUUUAUCUGUUCCAUUAAUAGUGCAAUGGAUUGAAUGUUCGUGCCCGAGUCCCAACUCAUAUGUUGAAAUUCUAAUCCCCCGUGUGAUGGUGUUUGGAGGUGGGGCCUUCAGAUGUAAUUAGGAGUAGUGUCCUUAUAAAAGGGACCCCAGAUUGCUCUUUUGCCCUCUUUCCACCAUGUGCGGAUACAACAAGAAACCAUGGUCUACAACCUCGGAAGAUGGCUCUCACCAGGACCUGACCAUACUGGACUGAUCUGUGACUUCUAGCCUCCAGAACCGUGAGAAAUAAAUGUCUGUUGUUUAUAAGCCCCA
rnacentral:lncRNA from 1 species